GGCCAGACUCCUACGGGAGGCAGCAGUGGGGAAUAUUGCACAAUGGGGGAAACCCUGAUGCAGCAACGCCGCGUGAGUGAAGAAGUAUUUCGGUAUGUAAAGCUCUAUCAGCAGGGAAGAAGAAAGACGGUACCUGACUAAGAAGCCCCGGCUAACUACGUGCCAGCAGCCGCGGUAAUACGUAGGGGGCAAGCGUUAUCCGGAUUUACUGGGUGUAAAGGGGGCGCAGACGGCGAUGCAAGCCAGGAGUGAAAGCCCGGGGCCCAACCCCGGGACUGCUCUUGGAACUGCGUGGCUGGAGUGCAGGAGGGGCAGGCGGAAUUCCUGGUGUGGCGGUGAAAUGCGUAGAUAUCAGGAGGAACACCGGUGGCGAAGGCGGCCUGCUGGACUGCGACUGACGUUGAGGCCCGAAAGCGUGUGGAGCAAACAGGAUUAGAUACCCUAGUA
rnacentral:rRNA from 1 species